rfam:Capsicum annuum cultivar Zunla-1 chromosome 9, whole genome shotgun sequence
UACUGGUGAUGUAGAUAAUGCUUGAGGAGAGAAUUAAAUAUCUUCCAUGCAUGACACAAAUUCUCAUCUGGCUUUUGUUUAAAACAUAAGAUCUCACUUCUCAACCU